UACGUAGGGUGCGAGCGUUGUCCGGAAUUACUGGGCGUAAAGAGCUCGUAGGUGGUUUGUCGCGUUGUUCGUGAAAACUCACAACUCAAUUGUGGGCGUGCGGGCGAUACGGGCAGACUGGAGUACUGCAGGGGAGACUGGAAUUCCUGGUGUAGCGGUGGAAUGCGCAGAUGUCAGGAGGAACACCGGUGGCGAAGGCGGGUCUCUGGGCAGUAACUGACGCUGAGGAGCGAAAGCGUGGGGAGCGAACAGG
rnacentral:rRNA from 1 species